rnacentral:rRNA from 1 species
UACGUAGGGGGCAAGCGUUGUCCGGAAUUAUUGGGCGUAAAGAGCGUGUAGGCGGCCAGAUAAGUCCGCUGUGAAAAUCUCGAGGCUCAACUUCGAGCUGUCGGUGGAAACUGUCUGGCUAGAGUCCGGAAGAGGAGAAUGGAAUUCCUGGUGUAGCGGUGAAAUGCGCAGAUAUCAGGAAGAACACCCGUGGCGAAGGCGGUUCUCUGGGACGGUACUGACGCUGAGGAGCGAAAGCGUGGGGAGCGAACAGG